GACGGAGGGUGCAAACGUUGUUCGGAAUUACUGGGCGUAAAGCGCGUGUAGGCGGGCGGAUAAGUCGGACGUGAAAGCCCUGGGCUCAACCCAGGAACUGCAUCCGAAACUGUCAGUCUGGAGUGGUGGAGAGGGAAGCAGAAUUCCUGGUGUAGAGGUGAAAUUCGUAGAUAUCAGGAGGAACACCGGUGGCGAAGGCGGCUUCCUGGACACUAACUGACGCUGAGACGCGAAAGCGUGGGGAGCAAACAGG
rnacentral:rRNA from 1 species